GACGAACGCUGGCGGCGUGCUUAACACAUGCAAGUCGAACGGAAAGGCCCUGCUUUUGUGGGGUGCUCGAGUGGCGAACGGGUGAGUAACACGUGAGUAACCUGCCCUUGACUUUGGGAUAACUUCAGGAAACUGGGGCUCAUACCGGAUAGGAGCUCCUGCUGCAUGGUGGGGGUUGGAAAGUUUCGGCGGUUGGGGAUGGACUCGCGGCUUAUCAGCUGGUUGGUGGGGUAGUGGCUUACCAAGGCUUUGACGGGUAGCCGGCCUGAGAGGGUGACCGGCCACAUUGGGACUGAGAUACGGCCCAGACUCCUACGGGAGGCAGCAGUGGGGAAUAUUGCACAAUGGGCGGAAGCCUGAUGCAGCAACGCCGCGUGCGGGAUGACGGCCUUCGGGUUGUAAACCGCUUUCGCCUGUGACGAAGCGUGAGUGACGGUAAUGGGUAAAGAAGCACCGGCUAACUACGUG
rnacentral:rRNA from 1 species